rnacentral:piRNA from 2 species
CCUGCUAAUGCCUGUCUUCUGUCUACCCAAC